rnacentral:rRNA from 1 species
UACGUAGGGUGCGAGCGUUAAUCGGAAUUACUGGGCGUAAAGCGUGCGCAGGCGGUUUUGUAAGCCAGAUGUGAAAUCCCCGGGCUUAACCUGGGAAUGGCAUUUGGGACUGCAAGGCUCGAGUGCGGCAGAGGAGACUGGAAUUCCUGGUGUAGCGGUGAAAUGCGUAGAUAUCAGGAGGAACACCGGUGGCGAAGGCGGCAUCCUGGACCAAUACUGACGCUGAGGAGCGAAAGCCAGGGGAGCAAACGGG